CCCGCUGAACUUAAGCAUAUCAAUAAGCGGAGGAAAGGAAACUAACAAGGAUUCCCCUAGUAACUGCGAGUGAAGCGGGAAAAGCUCAAAUUUAAAAUCUGUCAGUCUUUGGCUGUCCGAGUUGUAAUCUAGAGAAGUGUUAUCCGCGCUGGACCGUGUACAAGUCUCCUGGAAUGGAGCGUCAUAGAGGGUGAGAAUCCCGUCUUUGACACGGACUGCCAGGGCUUUUGUGAUGCGCUCUCAAAGAGUCGAGUUGUUUGGGAAUGCAGCUCAAAAUGGGUGGUAAAUUCCAUCUAAAGCUAAAUAUUGGCGAGAGACCGAUAGCGAACAAGUACCGUGAGGGAAAGAUGAAAAGAACUUUGGAAAGAGAGUUAAACAGUACGUGAAAUUGCUGAAAGGGAAACGCUUGAAGUCAGUCGCGUCAUCCAGGGAUCAACCUUGCUUUUGCUUGGUGUACUUUCUGGUUGACGGGUCAGCAUCAAUUUUGACCAUUGGAAAAAGAUUAAGGGAAUGUGGCAUACAUAGUGAUGUGUUAUAGCCCUUGGUUGCAUACAAUGGUUGGGAUUGAGGAACUCAGCACGCCGCGAGGCCGGGUUUUUAUUAAUCACGUACGUGCUUAGGAUGUUGGCAUAAUGGCUUUAAUCGACCCGUCUUGAAACACGG
rnacentral:rRNA from 1 species